rnacentral:rRNA from 1 species
CAGGGGCGGGGCCUUUAUACAUGCAAGGCGAAGGGGCAGCUAAUGGUCACUGUCGUACGGGUGCGUAACGCGUAUGCAACCUAUUCUAUCACUGGGGGAUAGCCCGGGGAAACCCGGAUUAAUACCGCAUAAAACAGGGGCACCGCAUGGUGAUAUUUGUUAAAGAUUUAUUGGUGAUAGAUGGGCAUGCGUUCGAUUAGCUAGUUGGCGGGGUAACGGCCCACCAAGGCGACGAUCGAUAGGGGAGCUGAGAGGUUGAUCCCCCACACGGGCACUGAGAUACGGGCCCGACUCCUACGGGAGGCAGCAGUAGGGAAUAUUGGGCAAUGGAUGCAAGUCUGACCCAGCCAUGCCGCGUGCCGGAUGAAGGCCCUCAGGGUUGUAAACGGCUUUUAUUCGGGAAGAAGAGCAGGGAUGCGUCCUUGUGUGACGGUACCGAAUGAAUAAGCACCGGCUAACUCCGUGCCAGCAGCCGCGGUAAUACGGAGGGUGCGAGCGUUGUCCGGAUUUAUUGGGUUUAAAGGGUGCGUAGGUGGCCUUAUAAGUCAGUGGUGAAAUACGGUUGCUCAACAAUCGAGGUGCCAUUGAUACUGUGAGGCUUGAAAUAAUUGGAGGCUGCCGGAAUGGAUGGUGUAGCGGUGAAAUGCAUAGAUAUCAUCCAGAACACCGAUUGCGAAGGGCAGGUGGCUACGAUUGGUUUGACACUGAGGCACGAAAGCAUGGGGAGCAAACAGGAUUAGAUACCCUGGUAGUCCAUGCUGUAAACGAUGAGGACUCGCUGUUUGACUGUAAAGUUGAGCGGCUUAGGGAAACCGUUUAAGUCCUCCACCUGGGGAGUACGCCCGGCAACGGUGAACUCAAAGGAAUUUGACGGGGGGUCCGCACAAGCGGUGGAGCAUGUGCUUACUUCGAUGAUACGCGAAGCAUCUUUACUUGGGCCUAAACUCCAAAAGAGAGGCAUAU